GGAUGAACGCUAGCGGUGCGCCUAACACAUGUAAGUCGUGCGAUCGAGCCGAACUGAGUCCCUUCGGGGAUGAUGAUUGGUGACGGAGCGGCGGACGGGUGAGUAACGCGUGGCUAACCUACCCUCUUGACGGGGACAACCACCCGAAAGGGCGGCUAAUACCCGAUAUUGUCUGGAACCGAUGGGUUCCUUUCCAAAGGCGGUCAUGCCGCCGCAAGGGGAUGGGGCUGCGUCCUAUUAGCUAGUUGGUGAGGUAACGGCCCACUAAGGCUUCGAUGGGUAGCUGGUCUGAGAGGACGACCAGCCACAUUGGGACUGAGAUACGGCCCAGACUCCUACGGGAGGCAGCAGUGGGGAAUCUUGGCCAAUGGACGAAAGUCUGAGCCAGCGACACCGCGUGGGGGAUGAAGGCCUUCGGGUUGUAAACCUCUUUUCUGGGGAAAGAAUAAGGACGGGAGGAAAUGCCCGCCCGAUGACGGUACUCCAGGAAUAAGCAUCGGCUAACUCUGUGCCAGCAGCCGCGGUAAGACAGAGGAUGCAAGCGUUAUCCGGAAUUACUGGGCGUAAAGGGCGUCUAGGCGGUUCGGUAAGUCGUUUGUGAAAUCCCUCGGCUCAACCGAGGAAGGUCUUGCGAUACUGCCGGGCUUGGGUGCAGGAGAGGAGGGUGGAACUCACAGAGUAGCGGUGGAAUGCGUAGAUACUGUGAGGUACCCCGAUGGCGAAGGCAACCCUCUGGCCUGCUACCGACGCUGAAGCGCGAAAGCGUGGGGAGCAAAGGGGAUUAGAUACCCCCGUAGUCCACGCCCUAAACAAUGUUCACUUGGUGUCGGCCGCUCAUACUGGUCGGUGCCGAAGCUAACGCGUUAAGUGAACCGCCUGAGGAGUACGGCCGCAAGGCUAAAACUCAAGAGAAUUGACGGGUCCCUGCACAAGCGGUGGAGCACGUGGUUUAAUUCGACGAUAAACGAAAAACCUCACCCAGGCUUGACAUACUAGUGGUAGGAACCUGAAAGGGGGACGACUCUGCCUUCGGGUAGAGAGCUAGUACAGGUGAUGCAUGGCUGUCGUCAGCUCGUGUCGUGGGAUGUUGGGUUCAGUCCCGAAACGAGCGCAACCCUUGUCGUUAGUUGCCAGCGGGUAAUGCCGGGGACUCUAACGAGACUGCUGGUGAAUAGCCGGAGGAAGGCGGGGAUGACGUCAAGUCAUCAUGUCCCUUAUGCCUGGGGCGACACACAUGCUACAAUGGGGGGUACAGAGGGUCGCAAUCCCGUAAGGGGGAGCCAAUCCAUAAAAAACCCCUCCCAGUUCGGAUUGAGGUCUGCAACUCGACCUCAUGAAGUCGGAAUCGCUAGUAAUCGCGGGUCAGCCAUACCGCGGUGAAUAUGUACUCAGGGAUUGUACACACCGCCCGUCACACCAACCGAGUGGGGGGUACCUGAAGUCGCUCUUCUGAGGGCGCCUAGGGUAACUUCCGCAAGAGGGGUGAAGUCGUAACAAGGUA
rnacentral:rRNA from 1 species